rnacentral:rRNA from 1 species
CCUACGGGAGGCAGCAGUGAGGAAUAUUGGUCAAUGGCCGUAAGGCUGAACCAGCCAAGUAGCGUGAGGGAAGACUGCCCUAUGGGUUGUAAACCUCUUUUAUGCGGGGAUAAAGGUGUCCACGUGUGGAUGUUUACAGGUACCGCAUGAAUAAGGACCGGCUAAUUCGGUGCCAGCAGCCGCGGUAAUACGGAAGGUCCGGGGGUUAUCCGGCUUUAUUGGGUUUAAGGGGAGCGUAGGCGGACUGUUAAGUCAGCGGUAAAAGCCCGGGGCUCAACCCCGGCGAGCAGUUGAAACUGGCUGUCUUGAGAUGUCGUGAGGUAGGCGGAAUGCGCAGUGUAGCGGUGAAAUGCUUAGAUAUUGCGCAGAACUCCGAUUGCGAAGGCAGCAUACCGGCGGCGAUCUGACGCUGAGGCACGAAAGCGUGGGUAUCGAACAGGAUUAGAUACCCUUGUAGUC